AUUCUCUCCCUCUUCGAUCGUCCACUCCAUCCCCAUGAACUCGCCCUAGGAUUAGGGUUUCAUCUCCUCCUCCUCCUCCUCCUCCUCCUCCUCAACACUAUCACUCUUCGAGGGCUCCUCGCAUCGGAUACCCAUGGCUAGGACAGGGAUCGAACGCCUCGUGUCCCUCUCCUUCUCCAUUUAAUCCAUUUUCCGCUUCCUUUUGGAUUAGGAAUUAACUCUACUAAUUGUUCCAUCUUUUUUUUUUUUCUCAUUAUUUUGUGAUUAGUUCGAUUCUUAGUUCUUCAGAUUCAAUUAGGUAAUAGAUUCCCCUCAUCGUUUAUAUCCUUAUGAUGAUCCAUUUCGAAUUUAGUGUUUGUUAGAGAAGUGGAUUGAAUCCGUUGUGGCAAAUGAUCGCAAAUGAUUUGAUUUGUAGUAUAUUUAUGGGAAGGUAUGUUUCUUAUUAGUUUGAUAUUACGGGAAGUUAGUAGUUGGUAUAGUGAUUAGUGCUUUAUUAGGUCAUUAUUAGGUUUAACUAGGAAACUUGUUGAGCAUGGGAUUGUUUCCCGUUUGAUUGGCGGUGACUAGCAAUUGAUUUUGUGGUUAUUUUCUUAGAGUGUAGAGGAAUUAUUUUUCCGAUUGUAAUUGAUUUUUAUUUUCUGAAACGUCAUGUUUGAACUGCAAAAAAUUGAAGCCAACUAUGAUCUUAUGCAUGCUGAUACUGGUCAGAAGGACUAUUUAGAUGUUACCUAAAGGACCGAUUGGAUAAGGAAACUGCCGAGGAAUAAUUUUAAUCAUUAUCAAGUUUGUGUGCAUGUGUAGAGGUAUUCAGGCGCGUAUGCUUGUGUAGUUUUGCAACUUAACCUCCUCAUUAACUUGUUUGACGAGCGUUUCUGAUGUGUUCUCUUUCAAUUGUUUUCGGGGACAAUCUUUUGAUUAAGAAUCAGGCUAUUAAAUAGGUUUAUAGCAUAUCUUUUUAUGAAAUCUCAAUACAACAUUGACUUUGGUUUUUCUUUUUUCUUUUAAUACUUAUCACUACUCGAGGUAGCUCCUCAGGUUGGUUCUUUAAUAUUAUUUUACUUAGUCUUUUCCUCCAAGUAUAAUUAUUUGCCUUGGCUUCAGAAGAGAACCUGAGUCAGCGUUUUUGUUUUGAUCUAUUUAAACACAUCACUAAGAGCCAAUGGACUCAUAAACAGAGUUACUUCAUUAGCAGUUGCUAUACCUUUCUCUCCUUAUUACAGAAUGAUCUAGUUACAUGGAAUUCCUCCUUGAGUAAUUUCACUUCUUAUGCUUACAAUCUUUCCUCUUCAGCAUGCUAGAUAUCUCUAUUUUUCAGAACUAAUAAUACUUGUAGUGAGAUGUAAGGGUUGUCAAAUUAUAUAGAUUGUAUUCUCUCAUGGUUACUGGAGAUGUCCCACCAUGACAUACCGGUUGUUCUUUGUCUUCCUAUUUGCUAGUUUGGCACUAAUGGAUAUAUCUUAAGAAAUUAGAGUUAGAAAUAAAAAGAUAAACAAGACACCUCUAAGAUGUGGAACUCGUAGUUUAGUUUAGUGUUGGAAUCACUAAAGGAAGGGAUAGGUAGAAAUGUUUGAUGAAUAAAGAGUUACAAGAGAAAUGUAUGUAGCAUAUGUAAUUCGUGACAAAGUAGCAGUAGAACAAUUCAAUUAAGCAACUUUUAGUGCAAUAGUAUUGUAGUAUAAAACCUUAAACAACUAAGCAUGUCCAAAAUAGAAUGAACAAAGAUGCAACACAAACAUCGAUAGUGAUUUAUCUUAUCAUCAACAUAUCCUGAAUCAGAGGAGGCCAAACCCGUAAUGCCAACAUGGCUUGACUGGGUGCACCUAUCGAAUAAAGUUGUUUUUAGUUCAUUCUAAUAUCCCCUCAUUUCUGUAUUUCAAGUAGCUUUAUUUCUGUGCCUUUGUAUAAUCUUCUGUUUUUUUUGUGGGACUGCAGAAUUCUUAAAUUUAUUGGCUUUUGAUGUAUUUCCUUUCAUCAAACCAUAUUUUCCAAGAUUGGUUAUAGAUACUGUAAUAUGCUUAUGUUCCUGUGUUAGCAUGUGCUUCUUCUCUGUUUAAUGACAUCGGUGUCUGCAUUUUUUAGCAAUUCUUUUGGGCUUCUCAUGCCGCUUAUAUCAUAUACUAGCAUUACAGCUUCUAGAUUCCUCAGUUCAUAUUCCUAUCGUUCAGUACCGAACUACAUCAUGCCAUAUCCCAUUCAUCAUAUGAUAAAGCUUUAAAUUAUGUACUCCCUUAAGUGCUAAUCUGUUUCUUUAUAAAAUAAUUAGCUACUAGAAAUUCUAGUCAUAAAAUUCUUAGCAUCCUAUGUCAUGUUUGUGUUCAUGAUCUUGUUUUAGAGGCUCUCGCAUACAACAUGGCACCACCACAUGGGAAAGGGCAUCACAUGGGGCCUUCACAUCACCACAUGAUGUUGUGUUGUCUUUAGUUAUUCUAUUCCUUUUAAUGCUAGCUAAGAAUAGGAUGUUCUCUACACUUCCUUUGGUGAGAUACUAAUGUCUCCGAAAUGCUUUGUGAGUGCCCAUGCAUGACUAAGUGGUCAAAGUGCAUUAGUUGUUCCCACGCUUUCAGCAAUUAGGAAGCCCCAAAAAAAGAAAGAUGCAGAUGCAGUGUUGCUUAAUUUCGAGCCCUUUUUCGAGCCGAAGGUCAUGACCUUGACAUGUUUGCGUUUUUAAUGUUUGGAAUUACAGUUGUAAGGAUAUUGUAGGUAAAGCUUGGGUUUAUCUUCGUCGCGUCCGAAUGUCUUUUUAGAAAAAAUUACGGUAGGUUGGCAUUAAAGAUGGAGGAGGAUUCGUCAGAGUUUUAAUGUAUUUUAUAACUAAUGGUUGAUUUACUGGCUAAGCCACACUCAGGGUGUUCUUGUCGGUGAGUUAGCUUGUCCAUUGCAGUUUGAUCUCCCUAAAUUUGUUUUCUAGACACUCAGAAAGUGUGGAUAUAUAUUAUUAGUUUCACCAGAGUUUUUGCUUCUAUUGCUAAGAUACCCAAUAGAAAGAGUCUAGUGCUUGCUGUGUUGUGUUUUGUUUUGUUUUUUUAUUUAAUGGUUUUAGCUGCAGUCAUCUCUGUGUAGAUUGUCUGGUAAAGCUUUUGCUUCCAAUGCUGUUUGCAUCGUCGUGUUUCUGAGCUGAGCCAGCGGGCGUAUUCCGGCUUAUUUUUAUAUCUGUUUUUAGCUGCAGUCAUCUCUAACAAAUUAUAUGAUAACAGGAAAGUUUAAUGCGAUUACUAUGAUUUGAAGUAUGAGAUUUGCAGUGUAGAAAAGUAGUUUUCUUUUAUUGUGCAGAUUAAAUGUUGGAGAAUUUUGAUUAAAAUUCCUUUGAGGAUUCUUUAAGCAAACAACUACAUAAAUAAUACCCCAUCAAAGUCUCUUUUUUUUUUUCAGCCUUUUCUCUUUUUUUUUCUAGGCCUAAUUGUUUCACCCUUGUAGAUAAGUUUAUUAUACAAGUUUAUUUCUCUUAUCGAACGAAGUAUGUAAUUUGCUUUUUUUUUUUAUUUUAGGAAAAAAAAUCCUAUUCUUAUGUGUGGAGUUGAUUUAAAUUUUUUCCGGUAACUGUUUUUUUAUGACCUCUUCAGUUGUUACUAUCUCAUGUCAUUUGUGACAUUGCCCCUCGCUGUGCGACAGCGAAGUGCCCCGGGUAACCUAAUUGUCCGAGUCGUGCUCGUGCCCGAACUUUUGCCACGUCGGACCACCAAUCCUAGUCCAGUGCACCGGCCCGGGUCACGAGAAAACGUCGAAUCCCCGAGCCGUGCUUCGCUGAGACUCUGCGGUAUCCUCACCGCCCAAAGUAACGUCACCGCGUCCGGCCCAUGAGGUGUCAUUGCCUCACCGCACGGUAACCUUAUCUCCCGGAACAGAGUCCCGUAGAAGAAAACUUGGCGGGAGGUACCCCUAUUUUUUUUUUUUUUUAGAUAUUAUUGCGCAACACCGUGUGUCGACUCAUCUUCCGAACCCUCUCAUGCAUCCACACUUCGUGGGGCCCACCUUUGUUUAGAGCGGGUCACUUACUGGGUGCAAUUAAACCGCGGUCCCUUUGUCCCUCGGUCGAAAAGAUAUUUUUCCCGCGCUCCUUUGCCAGCUGUCGUGUUUUCACGUUACCGCCCAUCCGGUGGGCCCCACACUUUUCCCUCGAGAGGAAAAAAUAAUCAGAGAGAAAGAAAUUAUGGGGCGGGGGGAUUUUAUUUGGCUUGGGAAAAUAAUGCACGAGUCAUGCGCCCGCCCCAAAUUCACGCGAAACCCAAAUGAAAUUGAAGAAAAAAAANAGUGCAUCUAUGUGGCUCAGAGAUCGAGUAUUUAUACAGUAUUUAUGGAUAUACAAGAAAUAGAAGGAAAAGGAAAAAGGGGAAAAGAAAUAAAAAUAAUAAUAAAAACAAAAAAGAAGGGAGGGAGUUUCCGUUGCGGUUGUGGCGCGGAUGGGCGCCACGUGUGACGAGGCCCGAAAUCGUCGCCGUCCGUGACAAGUGUGCCGGUCGCG
rnacentral:lncRNA from 1 species